rnacentral:lncRNA from 1 species
GUAAUUCAAAAACAAAUAUAGACACACAAAAUGAUGUGCCUUCACAGGAGAGUAACUGGUCAUGGCAAAGUAAGCUGCAACAGUGUAAGUUUCACUAAGCUUUAUGAAGAGUCCCUGUGAGCAAUUCGAUUGUAACAUCUUGUAUCAAGCUUCAGCUGUGUAAGUUUCACUAAGCUUUGUGAAGAGUCCCUGUGAACAAUUCGAUUGUAACAUCUUGUAUCAAGCUUCAGCUGUGUAAGUUUCACUAAGCCUUGUGAAGAGUCCCUGUGAGCAAUUCUAUUGUAACAUCUUGUAUUAGAUCUUUAUUUCUGCAACUUUGAGAAAUUAACUAAAUUAAAGGAAAGUAACCUGGGAGUGGGACGUGAUAAAUCAACUGUAGAUAUUGGGAUUUAACCACCUCCUCUGUUUGAUAGAUAAGUACUUGAAACUACUUUUUGAUAGAUAAGUGAAACAUAAGUUGGUGUUUUUCAAUACUUUAAAAGAACGUGGAUAUUAUGAACUUAGACUGGGAAAUCAAUGUUGGAAUCUCUAAUUGCAUCACCUUCUUUGUCUAGCCAAAUUUUGAUAAUGCCUAAAAUGUGAAACUCAUAUAUUUUCAAAUUCGAAAUUUAAGCAAGUAGCUCUCUCAUCUUGCCCCUGUUAGCUUGUUAUUGUUUAAACAUGUGAUGUCAGUAGUUCCACAUUAUUGAUUAACAAAGAAUCAAAAUCAAUUUAUCAAUGAACAAUGAAAUGAUAUGGUUCUUACAUAUAAGCUAAAAAGGGGAAAAUAAAUUAGCAAAUCAUAAAGACUCAAUUACCAAAAAAGCAGCAUAAAUAUCCAACUAAUUUGAAUCUACCAUUCCAACAUCAUAUUUUUCACUUUGGUGGAAUUCAUCUAUAAUUUACAUGGUUCCAACUUCACAUUUGUUGUAGCAUUUUCUGCUAAUUCAACAGUUUCUUUUACUUAAAGUCCAUGGAUAUAGUUCAUAUGAACUUACCUCAUUUGCAAGGAAAAACACAAUUUUGUUGAGAAACAACAACCAAGGAAAUCUUAGUAAAUAUCAGUUGCUACCUUCUACCUGAAUUUUAAUCUCUUCCUCCCUCAUUUUAUACUUUCACUAUUCCCAGUUUUGUUAAGAAAGGAAACAACAACCACAGAUCAAUUAUAUUAGACAGGAACCAGUAUUUUAGGGACAACUUAUAUUUCUGUCAAUCUGAACUACAUUUAAGGUUCUUCCAUGCUACCCCUAAGAAGGUCACUAUGAUAAUUGAAUGUUCUAGGAAGAUAUUAGUAAAAAGUAGGAGUAAACAAUUUGGAGAGAGCUUAGUGGGAAUCAAAUAGAAAGUUGCACAAUUGUCUCACCAUGACUUUUUCACAUACAAAGUUGUCAUUUUAAAGCCUUUAUAUGACGAUUUUAUAUAUUUUCAUUUUUAAUUUAACAUGGUACCUUUUUAUAUGAUGCUUCAAUUAAGAAUGAGAAAACAAGAAUUUCAAAUUACAUUCAUAGAAUUCAAAAUACAGUUGCAAUAUGAAAACUCAAGAUAUAUCAAUGUAAAACGAACAACGACAAUUUUGGCAACCUUUGACUUACUAAUAAGGUUG